rnacentral:rRNA from 1 species
GACAUAGGUUGCGAACGUUAUCCGGAAUUACUAGGCGUAAAGGGUUUGUAGGUGGCCUGCUAAGUCAGACGUGAAAUCCCUCAGCUUAACUGGGGAACUGCGUCUGAGACUGGUAGGCUCGAGGACAGGAGAGGAACGCGGAAUUCCAGGUGUAGCGGUGAAAUGCGUAGAUAUCUGGAGGAACACCGGUGGCGAAGGCGGCGUUCUGGACUGUUUCUGACACUGAAAAACGAAAGCCAGGGGAGCAAACGGG